rnacentral:rRNA from 1 species
CAGCACCUCAAGUGGUCAGGAUGAUUAUUGGGCCUAAAGCAUCCGUAGCCGGCGCUGUAAGUUUUCGGUUAAAUCUGUACGCUCAACGUACAGGCUGCCGGGAAUACUGCAGCGCUAGGGAGUGGGAGAGGUAGACGGUACUCGGUAGGAAGGGGUAAAAUCCUUUGAUCUAUUGAUGACCACCUGUGGCGAAGGCGGUCUACCAGAACACGUCCGACGGUGAGGGACGAAGCCCUGGGGCACAAACCGGAUUAGAGACCCGAGUAGUCC